UAGCCAAUGAUGAAAUCAGUCAAAAAAACACCAUCUUUCGGGACUGAAUGGUCUUUAGACCUUGCUGACAUUAUUCUGCAAUUCUGAGGCUU